GGGCUUGGGGGGCAAGAUUCACGCCUCACACAAUUAGGGGGAGCACAAUAUUCAUCAGGUGGGGCACAGAGGGAAGAGGAGACUGCUCCUUCUCCAUUUUUCCAUUGGAGGACUCACAGCAAACAGAUGACUGAAGCAUAGACUCCAUUUUUUAAUUUUCACUUUCUGAGAAUUCACUUUCUUCCCCAUAAAAAGAAUCCAUAGAACACACUCACCUUGACAAAAAACCAUUACCAUCAGCUUCCAUUUUUAUCUUCACAGAAAGAAACAGAAUCACGCAUACUCACCAUCGAUUAGGGACGCGCACACCAAUCGGACUUCACUAUACACACGAAACACUCCCAGAUUCCUUUUCUACACUAAAUCGCACACACUUAAUGGGAUAAAAAGAGAGGGUAACAAAAAGAGAGAGGAAACAAAGAGAGGUAGAGGAGAUCAAGAGGGAGAACGGAGAUUUUCUGGCGAACUCGUCGCCGGAGCUGCUCACCGGAGCCCAGUUCCUAUAGGUUUCUAUUUUAUUUGGAUUUUUCAAGCUUUAGGUUCAUCCGACUCAGUGAUUCAUUAUUGAAAUUGCAUUUGGGUCGGUGAAAACAGUGAAGGCUUUGCCGAGUUGGGGUUCGAUUAGAGAUUGUUGAUUCAAGGUUCGUGUUUUGGUUCCGGUCGGAGCUCUAACCAAAUGCUUUGAUGGAUUGAAAUAAAAUUGAGGUCCAAUUCUAUCUUCUCUCGCUUUAAUUUUUAUAUUAUCAUGAAUGAUUUGGGUGUUUGGUAUGUUUGAAUUUUGAUUGCGUAUUGGUUAAUGUUGGAUUUGAAUGUUGAAAAGUGAAUUGAUAAUUGAAGCAUGUGUUAAUCAUUGAUUGAUAAGAAUGAAGUUGAGGGCGGGAAUUGAAAAUUGAUAAAAGUGAAUAUUAUAGUAUUUUGAUUCAUUGUUGAUGUUGAACAUGAUAUGUCAUCGAGCGGGUAGGCAAGCACUAGGCUCGAGUAGGCAAAAUUUAAAAUUGGUGGAUUGUUGGAAUGUUUGGAAUAUUUGUUGACUGUUUUAUUUAUCGUAUUUGAAAAGCGUAUUCAUUUAGUCGGGGGAUGCCUCGAGGUCUUUUGUACUUAUUUACCGAGGAAUGCCCCGACGUAUCAUGUACACAAAGGAGGUUCGUGAUGAAGGCUCGAGGCAUCGGGUAAAGCAACGGAGUUUAGCUUAGGACUAGUGUAGGUUAGAAUAGGAUUUAUAUUUUUGCACUUUUAUUUUGGUCUGUAUAGAUGGACUGGACAUUAUUAUUUUGUUUUAUUUGUUUGUUUGAUUGUUUUACGUGUUUUUUUUAUUGUUUUACAUUGUAGUGUCAAAAUUAACCGAUACGCUUCAUCAAGCAACCGUGGUCGAACCACGGGAUCGAGGGGUGCCUAACAACUUUCCUUCGGUCAACAGAAUUUCUUAGCCGGAAUCUCUGUUCGCAAACCAGUUUAAAGAGUCAAAUGGUUUUGGAAAGGAUUCUCCAUUGGUGACUUGGCAUAUCAGUUUAUGCCAAGUGGCGACUCUGAUUUCGAAUGUAAAAACAAUCCUUCUUCGAAACAAAUCGUUUUCUUUUGUCACUUAACAAUAAAAACCCUUUCAAACCUAAAAAUCAAUCUUUCGGAGUUAAAAAAAGGGGGGGGUGACAGUUCUGGUGACUCUGCUUGGGACUUUUCAGAAUUCGAACUUAUUUUUUGGAGUCGUAUCGGCUUUGUUUGGUAUUAUGGGUGUAUAAACAUUGUUUAUGAUUAAUGUUUGUGUUAUUGUUACCACUGUUGUGCAUUUCUGUGCUCUUUGUUUACAAUUUUUUUUCUUUAUGUGUUAACGCUUUAUAUCUGGCAUAAUUUGCAUAACCCGAGUCAAUUCUUUCUGCAACAAGUCCCGGAGUGCACGUCGUGCGCACGAACUCUAGUUGAAUCACCCUUAUUUUAGGGGGAGAGCCGUUGGAUGUAUGGAGUAGGUGGAAAACAGAGCAGCCACUAUCGACCAUAUGCUCCCCCGAACGGCCUUGUUAGUAAACCACAACGUAGGUCAGCCUUUAGGUCAUUCUUAUGUGCAUCAUAUUGAAACCUAGCGGGGCCCAAAUGGUUCUUUGUAGGAGACUCACCUUUAAAGCAUCCCAAUGUGCUAAAUGUUGUAUCUUUGAGGGUAAUGUGGUCAUUUGACGGACUGAUUCGGGGAAAACAUGUGUUCGAAGUAAGCUGUUCUUGAAAAAAAACGAGAAAAAAAGAAUAGAAAAGGUGAAUCAAAGAAGAGUUUCGUAGUUUUUAGGUUCUUUAUGGCUUUUGUUUUCCACGAUUCAAAAAAGAAAAAAAAAUAAAAAAAAAAUCAAAAAGAUUUUCCUUUUGUUUCCUUUAGCAAGCUUUCACAAUUCGAAAACUCCAAAAAGAUUUUUUUUAGGGGCUUUUUAUAAAAGAAAAAUUAAAAAAAGGUGGUAGAAGUUUUGUACAUUUCAUUUAACGAAAAUACCAAAAAGAUUUUUUCUUUCAUAGUUGUUGGUGUCAUUUUUUAUGUAAAGUGUCGAAUUAAAAACUCAAAAAAAAAAAAGACUUUGUUAUGCUGUUCAUUAUGUGUCUUUGGUCGUGUCUCAAGUCAGGGUGUCAUAUGUUAUUUAAUCAUUAAUUGUUCAAUCUGGACGAACUACGCACCCCUGAUUCUCCUCUUUCGGGAUGUGAGAUAUGUAUGCAGCCUAUUGUUGGUUCGGGGAUCUUAUUUAAAAAAUUCAAAAAAAUAUUUUCUUCAGUCCUCAUCUAGAGUAGGUGUUUCAUACAUGUCUUGAAAAGAAAAAUAAUUUUUUUUAAUAGUCGUAGGUUUUAUUUUUGGUUGAUCUUACUUAAAAAAAUCCAAAAAGAUUUUUUUCUUCACUCUUCAUUUAGAGUAGGUGUCAUAUACAUUUUCAAAAGAAAAUUACAAAAAGAUUUUUCUUUAAUAGGUUCAAGUUUCAUUUUCGCAUGAAAUUCAAAAUUGAAAACCCAGAAAAAGUUUCAUUGGUAAACAUAGGUUUCAUUUUGUAUAGAGAUGUUAAGCCUAAAAAAUGCAAAAAAAAAAAAAAGAUUUUAGUCAAUUUUUUUGACAAUUUGUUAUUUUCUUUUCUUCUUAAAGUUUCAAGAAAAAGGGAAAAAAGAGGACAAAGAGUUCAAUUGGCCAUUUUGGCACGACUUCACGAACUACGCACACCUGAUUCUCCUAUCUCGGGAGUGAGAUACGUAGGCGCCCUUCUUGGGUUCGGUGAUCUUUUAAAAAAAAAAGAGAGGUUUUGAAAAAAAAUGUUGAACUCUAACAUAUUUGCUGCCUCUUGUUCAGUUAGUUUAAGGUGGUUGGUUUGUGGCUUCCUGGCUGGUCCUCCAUAUCACACCAAAUCCAAGGAAAGGUUAGUUGUGUCCAACAAGGAUAUAGAAAGUGCUAUCAUGGAUGAAACAAAGAGUCAUGAAAAUGAGAGUUUAAAGCAAGAGAUUAGGAGACUAAGGCAACAAAUGACAGAAAUGCACCGAGCUUGGGAUAGUGGGUUGCCUCCUCCUCCAUUUUCCUCUAUUGAUCCUACAAAUACCUCGAGUUUUUCACCAAAAUCGCAAAUUCAGUGUCUUACUGUUGUUGAUGCACCGCAAAAUGAAUCAACAUUCAUUCCAAGCCCAAAACAUCUCAAUAUUUCCACCACUUUCCCUCUAGCUCCUCAGUAUAAGCCUGCUACAUUUACAACACCACAUGUCGACUGUGAUCUUGUUGCUCAAUCCUCUAUCGGGACUUCCACACUGGCUCGCCCAACGAUUGUACGUCCCCAUGCUAUUAGUGAACCUAUAUUCAAUACUCUUGGUGAUCAUUGUUAUACUCCUAAGGCUGCUUUUAAGUUAACUGGACCACCAAAAUUUCUUAACAAGAAAUCCAAUGUGCCAGAAGAGUCGGAGCAAUUGGUUGGGAAAAUGAAGGGUGCAGAAGAUGCUAUGAAAAGUUCCCUAGGACUGCCAGGUAGAGAAGAUGUUUCAUAUAAAAAUUGGGGCAUGUCUUCAAGUGUCAACCUUUCUUCAAACCUUGAGAUGUUGAAAUUUGAGGAGCAAGAUAGACAUGGGGAAUUCGUGGAACAUUUAGGAUAAUAUUGCAAUCAAUUAAGGGAAACUAGAGGGAAGAAGAAUGAGAAAGAUGUAACUGCCAAUGCAGUUGGAGAACAGUCACAUCUAAGAAGGCGACGUCGUCGUUUCUAUCAGUCUCAAGCCCAAGUUCAUACCCAAGCUCUCUAUAAUCCCUCCCAAAAUCCGUUAUACUCUAUUUCCCCACCUUCAUAUCUAGUAUAUUGCGCAUAAGCAUAUGUUCAACUCCCUUCUUACCCACAAUGGCGCGCACCAACGCCUCAAAGUCAUCUUCCAAUUCUACAAACAUACCAAAGCCCUUCUAGGCCCGAUGUUCGAUCCAAGUUAAAUAAUGAAAUGAGGCAGAAAUUAAGGGAUGGUUUCACACCAAUUGGAGAGUCGUAUGCCACUUUAUUUCAGAGAUUGGCACAACAAGGCAUGAUCACGCCUCUCUAUGGGUAUACUCCUGACCCGCAUUCGAGAAGUUUUGAUCCUAAUGUACGAUGUGCAUAUCAUUCUAAUGUUCAGGGUCACAAUAUUGAAGAUUGUCAUGCUUUGAAAAGAGACAUUGAAAAGAUGAUUCAAGACAAAUUGAUUAUGGUACAGAACAUCGACAGUGAGGAUAACUCUAGUCAUGCUGAUAUGUAAACCAGUGGCUAAUAUGUCAGGCUGAGCAAUUGAGAAGUCACCCCUCUCCCUACUAGGAAGAGGUCUGAUAGUUUGUUUUAUUUUAUUUUCUGUUAUCCAAAUUAUUUCAAGGUUGUAGUUCAGGAUCUAUCUUUUUUGUCCAUUUGUUGUUAUGUUCAAACCUUUCUAUCUUUUAUUUUAAUUAAAUGAAGUGUCCCUUUCUCCUUUGUGUUUUAAAUAUGUUUUUGUUUAUUUUAUUUCCACAUUACAUUUGAUGUUGACUCUAGUGAUAUGACAUGCUAACGGAAUUUUCAAUCAGAUCUUAAAAUUCAGUUUAAGCAUGAACAUUGAAUUAGAGGGUUAAAGUUAGAAAAAGAGAGCAUCUGAGAAAAUAGGUAGAAUGCUGAGACAUUUGGGGACAAAUUCAAGCCUUUUUUGAAAAUUAAGGCAAUUAGUUUGAGAAUCACAAGAAUAACUUGGUCAUGAAAGACAUGACUCAAUUAGGUCAAAUAGUGGCUGUGUGAACAGAAAAAAAAUCAGUUCCAUAAAAGCAUGAGUCAUUCAAUGUGAGGAAUGUACAACAAAGGUGGAGUUUGCAGAAGAAGUAGUGACGCACAAACUCAAUCAAAGUUAGUGCUUAAAAAGAUGUCAUAAAUGAUAUUCAUCUCUCACUUUCACAUUGCAUGCUAUGUACUGGCAUUUUCAAGGAUUGAUAUAACGAAGGCAUUUCAGUUUGCUAUCUAAAUAUUGGGUCAUCCUUUGUUUACCCCAUUUGAGCCUUAGUGUUAUUUUCUUUAAUACCCCUAUUUUGGAAUCAAUAUAGAGUUAACAAAGCUCAAAAGAAAAGUAUGGAGCAAAACAGUAGAUUCAAAAAAAUUUCAAGAAAAUGAGAAAAAAAAGAAGAAAAUAUGUCCAAAAAGAAAGUAAAGAGAAGAGUGUCGCAAAAAAUAAAGUCAGAAAAGUCUCAAAGAGAAAAAGAGUCAAUAAAAAAGAAAAAGAAGAAGUCAGAAUCGAGCAAAAAAAAAACAAGAUGCUAGAACUAUGUAUGACCUGAGUCUCCUCUCUCGAGGGUGAGAUACGUAGGCUGCCCUACUCAAGGCUCGGUCCAACCAAAUAAACAGUUUAGAAUUGCCCAGUCAAAAGAAACUGGGGCAUAAGUUAAUCCUCAUUGUUUGAGUCAAUUGUAAAAGUUGUAAGUCCCACUCCACUUCAAAUGUCGUUUGGGCCUCAUGUCAUCUUUUCUUUCUAACCCUAUCCAAAAAUCAAGUUACAACCAAAAAAGACCUUCGGAUCAAUCUUUAGGAUUGUUAAGGCUAAGCAUGCAAUGGAUGUGAUGAUGCAUUUUGGGAACUACUUGUCUUUCUCAGCAUAAGGAAUUAAGAGAGGAAUAAAAAUGAGAGAGUCUUAUCGGUGAAAACCCUCACGGUCACCGUAAGAUGAUAGUAAGCUGAGAGAGAUAAAAUAAGAGAGUCUUAUCGGUGAAAACCCUCGCGGGCACCAUAAGAAGAUGGGGAGCUGAGAGAAAUGAAAAUAAGAGAGUCUCAGUGGUGAAAAAUCCUCUCGAAUACCAUAAGACAAUGAUGAGGUGAUAAAAAAAAUGAGCGGGACUUGUUGGCGAAAACCCUUCAAGGUGCCACUAGCCUAAUAAGGUCUCCGAAUGCAAUUGACCUAAGAAAGCAACUCAGUUUCAGGGUCAUUCACUCAACAAUAAUUUGUGAGAGUUUUGGAUGGAAAGAUCAGGCAGUUUAAUCCGAUAGGCAUGACAUAAUCAUUAGAGUUGACUGUCAUUUUUAGAUGAAUUUUCGUUUCUUUGUUUCACAUGGGGACAUUUAUUGUCUUUUCUUUCUUCUCUUUAUUUUAAUUUUUUUUUUUGAGUCAGUUGUCCAAAUAAAAUAAAAAUUAUUGUCAUUUUUCUCUUCUCUUUGAGUCAAGUCCGUGUCAAAAUAAGUGAGAAAAAAUUUUAAAACUGGCUACCAGCUUCUUCGAUUGCACAAACCAAGACAAAGGGCUACAUAUGAAAGAAAAAAGAUUGCAAGUCAGAAUAAGGCAUGCAGAAAGGUUUUUCAAUAAACAAGUCUGGGAACUCAUGAAAAUACCAAGGUUCAAAGGGUUUAUCCGAGGAGCAUGGAAAAGCAGAGAUACUAUGUUUGUUUUAGAAUCAUUUCCCUUAAUCAGUGUUUGGGUAAAUGACACGAUAAAGCAGGGGCAAGUGCCAGUAAUCUGAAACAAAAUAAAGGGAAUGAACAUUGGAGCAGGUGUCAGGAAAGCCAAGUGCUGCAAACCAUCACUAAAUUUUUAACUGAUAAAUUUUCUUUGUUGAAACAGGGGUAAAUUUGCUUCACUUAAUUCAGCGACUAUUGGAAAAACACUUUCAUAGGAAUAUACUUUAUAUUCAGGACCCUCCUGAAAAAUAGGAUUUUACUUUAUGUUCGGACCCUCCUGAAAAAUGGGACUUUAAUUUCUGUAUAGGAUCCUCCUGAAAAAUGGGACUUUACUUUAUGUUCAGGACCCUCCUAAAAAAUGGGACUUUACUUUAUGUUCAGGACCCUCCUAAAAAAUGGGACUUUAUUUUCUGUUCAGGCGCUUCCUGAAAAAUGGGACUUUACUUUAUGUUCAGGAUCCUCCUGAAAAAUACGAAUUUACUUUAUGUUCAGGACCCUCCUGAAAAAUGGAAAUAUACUUUUAGUUCAGGACCCUCCUGAAAAAUGGGACUUUACUUUAUGUUCAGAACCCUCCUGAAAAAUGAGAUUUUACUUUCUGUUCAGGACCCUUCUGAAAAAUAAAAUUUUACUUUAUAUUCAGGACCCUCCUGAAAAAUCGGACUUUACUUUAUGUUCAGAACCCUCCUGAAAAAUGAGAUUUUACUUUCUGUUCAGGACCCUUCUGAAAAAUAAAAUUUUACUUUAUAUUCAGGACCCUCCUGAAAAAUGAGAUUUUACUUUCACUUCAGGACCCUCCUGAAAAAUGAGAAUUUACUUUCAGUUCAGGACCCUCCUGGAAAAUGGAAAUUUACUUCAAGUUCAGGACCCUCCUGAAAAAUAGGAUUUUAUUUUCUGUUCAGGACCCUCCUGAAAAAUGGGAUUUUAAUUUUUGUUCAGGACCCUCCUGAAAAAUGGGACUUUACUUUCUGUUUAGGACCCUCUUGAAAAAUGGAAUUUUACUUUAUGUUUAGGAACCUCCUGAAAAAUGAGAUUUUACUUUUAGUUCAGGACUCUCCUGACAAAUGAGAAUUUACUUUCAGUUCAGGAGCCUCCUGAAAAAUGGGAAUUUACUUCAAGUUCAGCACCCUCCUGUAAAAUAGGAUUUUACUUUAUGUUCAGGACCCUCCUGAAAAAUGGGAUUUUACUUUAUGUUCAGGACUCUCUUGAAAAAUAAGACUUUAAUUUUUGUUCAGGACCCUCUUGAAAAAUGGGACUUUACUUUAUGUUCAGGACCCUCCUGAAAAAUGAGAAUUAUUUUAUGUUCAGGACCCUCCUGGAAAAUAGGAUUUUACUUUCUGUUCAGGACCCUCUUGGAAAAUGAAACAUUACUUUCAGAAAAAUGAAAUCUUUCUUUAUUGUAAUCCUUGUUUGAAAUAUUUUUGUUCUAGUUUUGAUUUUGAUUUCAGGAGGGGCUUCGAAGAACAGGGUGAUGGAAUUGCAAGUCAGGAGCCCGCCUGAAGAACAAGGUGAUGAAUAUUGAAAGUCAGGAGCCCGCCUGAAGAACAGGGUGAUGAAGAUAAAAGCCAAGAAACAAGGUAAAGAAAUUAAAAGUCAGUAAAUUGAAAAAUAGCAAGUCAGCAGCCCACCUGAAGAACAGGGUGAGGAAAUUGAAAGUCAAAGCAACAAGUUGAAGAAAUUGCAAUUCAGGAGCCCGCCUGAAGAAUAGGGUGAUGAAACUCAAGCCAAGAGUUCAAAAGAAGCUGAAUAGAUAGGAUUUUUGUAAUUUCAUUUAGGUAUUAAAUUGUAAUUUUCAUUUCUGAUGUAAUAACAGAGCCACGGACCGGAACCUUGAGGGGACCUCACUCGACUCUCCAACUCGGUAUAGUCCAUAUCCUUCCCAAUCCUUUGAGAUACUUGUCACUUGAUUCCCUCAUAACUUGGGUAGGUAGGAUGUCCUAAGUCCAGACUCGGUUAUUCUGCCUCCUUCUGUUUCUUGCUUUGAAUAACAGUUGGGACAAAAUUCUGUGUCGUUGUCUACUUCUUUGUCUGAAAACACUUCAUGUUUACAUUCAAAGGAGGCAUACUGUAGACACCUAAUUUUGUCUCUCCGAAAGAUUAGUUUUCACCUUUUUACCUUAUCCUAUCAUGUACUCUGAACCAUGUAAUUAUCCCUCCAUAAAAUAACAAAAAUAACAACCCCUAACAAUUUUUAUCUUAUCCUUACAAACUUUAUCCUCACACCACCCCAUACCUCUACCCUCACCUACUCUACCCUGCCACGUGACCAUACCCCCCCUCUAUAUUUUUUUUACACGGUGCUAGCUUGGAGGAAAAGAAAUCUCACACCAAAAGGGAUAUAUACAUAUAUGGGCCCCACCACUAAGGAUGACCCACUGGCAUAUACAGAAUAUACAUAUAAUAUAUAAGGAUAGGACACUACCAGGGCUUGGGGGGCAAAGAUUCACGCCUCACACAAUUAGGGGGAGCAUAAUAUUCAUCAGGUGGGGCCCAGAGGGAAGAGGAGACAGCUUCUUCUCCAUUUUUCCAUUGGAGGACUCACAGCAAACAGACGACUGAAGCAUAGACUCCAUUUUUUAAUUUUCACUUUCUGAGAAUUCACUUUAUUCUCCAUAAAAAGACUCCAUAGAACACACUCACCUUGACACAAAACCAUUACCAUUAUCUUCCAUUUUCAUCUUCACAGAAAGAAACAGAAUCACGCACACUCACCAUCGAUUGGGGACGCGCACACCAAUCGGACUUCACUCAUACACACGAAACACUCCCAGAUUCCUUUUCUACACUAAAUCGCACACACUUAAUGGGAUAAAAAGAGAGAGGGUAACAAAAAGAGAGAGGGAACGAAGAGAGGGAGAGGAGAUCGAGAGGGAGAACGGAGAUUUUUUGGUGAACCCGUUGCCGGAGCUGCUCACCGGAGCUCAGUUCCUAUAGGUUUCUAGUUUAUUUGGAUUUUUGAAGCUUUAGGUUCAUCCGACUCAGUGAUUCAUUAUUGAAAUUGCGUUUGGGUUGGUGAAAACAGUGAAGGCUCUGCCGAGUUGGGGUUCGGUUGGAGAUUGUUGAUUCGAGGUUCGUGUUUUGGUUCCGGUCGGAGCUCUAACCAAAUGCUUUGAUGGAUUGAAAUAAAAUUGAGGUCCAAUUCUAUCUUCUCUCGCUUUAAUUUUUACAUUAUCGUGAAUGAUUUGGGUGUUUGGUAUGUUUGAAUUUUGAUUGCGUAUUGGUUGAUGUUGGAUUUGAAUGUUGAAAAGUGAAUUGAUAAUUGAAGCAUGUGUUAAUCAUUGAUUGAUAAGAAUGAAGUUGGGGGCGGGAAUCGAAAAUUGAUAAAAGUGAAUAUUAUAGUAUUUUGAUUCAUUGUUGAUGUUGAACGUGAUAUGUCAUCGAGCGGGUAGGCAAGCACUAGGCUCGGGUAGGUAAAAUUUAGAAUUGGUGGAUUGUUGGAAUGUUUGGAAUAUUUGUUGACUGUUUUAUUUAUCGUAUUUGAAAAGCGUAUUCAUUUAGUUGGGGAAUGCCUCGAGGUCUUUUGUACUUAUUUUCCGGGGAAUGCCCCGACGUAUCAUGUACGCAAAGGAGGUUCGUGAUGAAGGCUCGAGGCAUCGGGUAAAGCAACGGAGUUUAGCUUAGGACUAGUGUAGGUUAGAAUAGGAUUUAUAUUUUUGCACUUUUAUUUUGGUCUGUAUAGAUGGACUGGACAUUAUUAUUUUGUUUUGUUUGUUUGUUUGAUUGUUUUACGUGUUUUUUUUUGUGGUUUGUACAUUGUAGUGUCAAAAUUAGCCGAUACGCUCCAUCAAGCGACCGUGGUCUAAUCACGGGAUCGAGGCGUGCCUAACACCUUUCCUUCGGUCAACAGAAUUUCUUAGCCGGAAUCUCUGUUCGCAAACCAGUUUAAAGAGUCAAAUGGUUUUGAAAAGGAUUCU
rnacentral:lncRNA from 1 species